UACGAAGGGGGCUAGCGUUGCUCGGAAUCACUGGGCGUAAAGCGCACGUAGGCGGCUUCUUAAGUCAGGGGUGAAAUCCUGGAGCUCAACUCCAGAACUGCCUUUGAUACUGAGGAGCUUGAGUCCGGGAGAGGUGAGUGGAACUGCGAGUGUAGAGGUGAAAUUCGUAGAUAUUCGCAAGAACACCAGUGGCGAAGGCGGCUCACUGGCCCGGUACUGACGCUGAGGUGCGAAGGCGUGGGGAGCAAACAGG
rnacentral:rRNA from 1 species